GCCCCAGCCCCUGACAUUCCGGACGCCCCAGCCUGCACGUACUCUUUUGCUGCGUAACCAUGCAUCCGCACCUCAUUUGAAUCCACCAAUCAAGUCCCUGUAACCAUGCAUCUGCUUCUGUAUGCCUGCUUCUGCUCCCCAGAAUCCUAUAAAAACCCGUCCCGGGUCUUGCUGGGCACGCCAGUCCUUCCGAGCUGACUGAGACGCCCACAGAUACCUGUGUAUCCGGACAAUAAACCCUCUUGCUGAUUGCAUCCGGUGGUCUCGGGCUGGUCAUUGGGCUUGGGGACCUCCUUCCCGAAGGAAGAUUCUCUCUGAGGGUCUUUCAAUAUCAACUAAUUAGUUAACUUAAGAACAGGGAGGGGUCCCAGCAGGUUGGACAGAGGAAGACACCCAGAGGUCCACCAGCAACAUGGCCGACCUGCAGUGCGAGCCACUACAAAGUGCCCAGACCCAGAACUUUGAGUUGGCCACUCCAGCAUCUACCUCAUCUAUGAAAUACUGGAGUGUACAAAAUGAGCCAGUCCUACUGAUCCAAAGCUGCAGGAUCUCCAUAACACAGAGCAAUAACAAGAUAUCCAAG